AGCUGAGAGGUGGUGCAUGGCCGUCGUCAGUUCGUACUGUGAAGCGUCCUGUUAAGUCAGGCAACGAGCGAGACCCACGCCCACAGUUGCCAGCGUACUCUCUGGAGUGACGGGUACACUGUGGGGACCGCCGCUGCUAAAGCGGAGGAAGGAAUGGGCAGCGGUAGGUCAGUAUGCCCCGAAUAUCCCGGGCUACACGCGAGCUACAAUGGUUGGUACAAUGGGUAUCUACCCGAAAGGGGACGGGAAUCUCCUAAAACCAAUCUUAGUUCGGAUUGAGGGCUGCAACUCGCCCUCAUGAAGCUGGAAUCCGUAGUAAUCGCGUUUCAACAGAACGCGGUGAAUACGUCCCUGCUCCUU
rnacentral:rRNA from 1 species